UGCGAAGGGGGCUAGCGUUGCUCGGAAUUACUGGGCGUAAAGGGCGCGUAGGCGGAUAGUUUAGUCAGAGGUGAAAGCCCAGGGCUCAACCUUGGAAUUGCCUUUGAUACUGGCUGUCUUGAGUACGGGAGAGGUGAGUGGAACUCCGAGUGUAGAGGUGAAAUUCGUAGAUAUUCGGAAGAACACCAGUGGCGAAGGCGACUCACUGGCCCGUUACUGACGCUGAGGCGCGAAAGCGUGGGGAGCAAACAGG
rnacentral:rRNA from 1 species